rnacentral:rRNA from 1 species
UACGUAGGGGGCAAGCGUUUUCCGGAUUUACUGGGUGUAAAGGGAGCGUAGACGGCAUGGCAAGUCUGAAGUGAAAGCCCGCGGCUCAACUGCGGGACUGCUUUGGAAACUGUUAAGCUAGAGUGCAGGAGAGGUAAGUGGAAUUCCUAGUGUAGCGGUGAAAUGCGUAGAUAUUAGGAGGAACACCGGUGGCGAAGGCGGCUUACUGGACUGUAACUGACGUUGAGGCUCGAAAGUGCGGGUAUCAAAC